GAUGAAGAACGUAGCGAAAUGCGAUAAGUAAUGUGAAUUGCAGAAUUCAGUGAAUCAUCGAAUCUUUGAACGCACAUUGCGCCCCCUGGAAUUCCGGGGGGCAUGCCUGUUCGAGCGUCUCAGGGACGAACCCUCGCGCGGGUGUACGCGCGGUCGUGGCUGCGGUGGCGUGCCCGAGGCGGCGGCCACCGCGCUGGAAUCCAUGGGCGGACGCCUGCCGCGUGGCCGAGCGUGUUAUGACGCAUUGGCGCUCGCACGCGGCGAGGCUGCCAGCCCUGGCCCGUCUGUCGGGCGGGGGAGAGCAAGACACGUGAACUCCUCGAAUCAGGUAGGGAUACCCGCUGAACUUAAGCAUAUCAAUAAGCGGAGGA
rnacentral:misc_RNA from 1 species